AUUGAACGCUGGCGGCAUGCCUUACACAUGCAAGUCGAACGGUAACAGGUCUUCGGAUGCUGACGAGUGGCGAACGGGUGAGUAAUACAUCGGAACGUGCCUAGUAGUGGGGGAUAACUACUCGAAAGAGUGGCUAAUACCGCAUGAGAUCUACGGAUGAAAGCAGGGGAUCGCAAGCCCUUGUGCUACUAGAGCGGCCGAUGGCAGAUUAGGUAGAUGGUGGGAUAAAAGCUUACCAAGCCGACGAUCUGUAGCUGGUCUGAGAGGACGAUCAGCCGCACUGGGACUCGGAGACGGCCCAGACUCCUACGGGAGGCAGCAGUGGGGAAUUUUGGACAAUGGGCGAAAGUCUGAUCCAGCAAUGCCGCGUGCAGGAUGAAGGCCUUCGGGUUGUAACCUGCUUUUGUACGGAACGAAAAGCCCCGGGUUAAUACCCUGGGGUCAUGACGGUACCGUAAGAAUAAGCACCGGCUAACUACGUGCCAGCCGCCGCCGUAA
rnacentral:rRNA from 1 species